rnacentral:rRNA from 1 species
GGUGGUGCAUGGUUGUCGUCAGCUCGUGUCGUGAGAUGUUGGGUUAAGUCCCGCAACGAGCGCAACCCUUAUCUUUAGUUGCCAUCAUUAGGUUGGGCACUUUAGAGAGACUGCCGGUGACAAACCGGAGGAAGGUGGGGAUGACGUCAAAUCAUCAUGCCCCUUACGAUUUGGGCUACACACGUGCUACAAUGGACAAUACAAAGGGCAGCUAAACCGCGAGGUCAUGCAAAUCCCAUAAAGUUGUUCUCAGUUCGGAUUGUAGUCUGCAACUCGACUACAUGAAGCUGGAAUCGCUAGUAAUCGUAGAUCAGCAUGCUACGGUGAAUACGUUCCCGGGUCUUGUACACAC